rnacentral:lncRNA from 1 species
UGGCAGUCUUCAGAAUCUGAGCUAAAUCUUCUUCUGUUAUAGUACCGUUUUCUGACUGGUAUAGCUGAAAUGCCAGUUGGAUUGUUUCCAGAGUUUUGGAUGGCUUACAGACAACUGAUAGAGCAAUGACAAAUUCUCGAACAUCAAUUAUGCCAUCUUCAUUCUCAUCAAAAAGGGCAAACAUACUUUCUAACGUGUGAGAAACUGGAAAUUCCAAAUAUGCUGAAAAUUGUUUAAGACCAGCCUUCUCUUUUUUCAUUUUCAUAGCACGUGUAGCAUAUUUAUCAAGAUCAUCCUCAAGUGUUUC